GCCGAUAGCUCAGUCGGUAGAGCAUGAGAGUCUUAUUCUCAGGGUUGUGGGUUCAAGCCCCAUCUGGGACA